AUACGGAGGGUGCGAGCGUUAUCCGGAUUUAUUAGGUUUAAAGGGUGUGUAGGCGGGAGCCUAAGUCAGUGGUGAAAUCUCACAGCUUAACUGUGAAACUGCCAUUGAAACUGGGUUUCUUGAGUAUAGUUGAGGUAGGCGGAAUGUGUAAUGUAGCGGUGAAAUGCAUAGAUAUUACACAGAACACCGAUUGCGAAGGCAGCUUACUAAGCUAUUACUGACGCUGAUGCACGAAAGCGUGGGUAGCGAACAGGAUUAGAAACACCUGUAGUCC
rnacentral:rRNA from 1 species